GGCCCUUCCCGCACGAGUAUGUCAGCGGGACCCCGCACGUGCCCCUCAAUUUCAUAGCCCCGGGCGGUUCCCAGCAUGGCCCCUUCACAGGCAUCGCAUGCGGAAAGUCCAUGAUGAGCUCCGUGAGCCUGAUGGGGGGCCGGGGCGGGGUGCCCCUCUACGACCGGAACCACGUCACAGGGGCCUCGUCCAGCAGCUCGUCCAGCACGAAGGCCACGCUGUACCCGCCGGUGAGGGGCGGGGCCGGGGAGGGGCGGGGCGGGAUGG
rnacentral:sRNA from 1 species